rnacentral:rRNA from 1 species
GUACCUAUGGGGGGCAGCAGUGGGGAAUAUUGGACAAUGGGGGGAACCCUGAUCCAGCGACGCCGCGUGAGUGAAGAAGUAUUUCGGUAUGUAAAGCUCUAUCAGCAGGGAAGAAAGAAAUGACGGUACCUGACUAAGAAGCCCCGGCUAACUACGUGCCAGCAGCCGCGGUAAUACGUAGGGGGCAAGCGUUAUCCGGAUUUACUGGGUGUAAAGAGAGCGUAGGCGGCACUACAAGUCUCAUGUGAAAUACCCGGGCUUAACUUGGGGGUUGCAUGGGAAACUGUAGAGCUUGAGUACAGGAG